UCCUGACGGUAGUCGUAUGCUCGUCUCCGAGACUAAGCCAUGCAAGUCCAAGUACACGUCCUUGAACGACGGAAACUGCGAACGGCUCAUUAAAUCAGUUGCGAUCUACUCGGCGUUCCGCGCCGCCGGAUAACCGUAGUAAUUCUAGGGCUAAUACGUGCGAAGCGCCCGAAGCCGCGAGGCGACGGGCGUUCUCGCCGGAUGUAGGAACCGACCCGGGGACCGCCGGGGCAACCCGGCGCCCCCGAGACGGGGCGAACCACGGUGAAAUGACGGAUCGUCGGCCCCGCGCCGGCGACUCGCCGAAUGAGUUUCUGACCUAUCAACUCGAGACGGCGGGGUAGAGGCCCGCCGCGGUAACGACGGGUAACGGGGAAUCAGGGUUCGAUUCCGGAGAGGGAGCCCGAGAAACGGCUACC
rnacentral:rRNA from 1 species